AACGCGACGUGAUAAAAACAUGACUUUAAACUAUGAACACGUGGUUGGAAAAAGAAUAAAUAGCAAAUUGUUAUAUGUUACAGAGGAAAAACAAUUAUAUUCCAAAAAACUAUUAAAAAAGAAAAAUAUUUUUAUGCUUGUUACGUGCAAACAUGCAAAGCGAGGGUGUUUUUGAAUAGUGAAGUGUGUUAUAAGGUUAAAGAUUUCAUUGAUCAUAAUCAUGAAACUCAGGAGGAUACGUACAGGGAAUUAAAUAUUAUGAAUAAUAUGGAGUCAUCCUGUAUGGAAAUACAUCAAGAUUCCACUAAACCGAGCGUUCUUGGAAGCAUACGAAAAAUAUUUCAAUGUACUUGCGUUGAAUACCCGGUGGAAACAAAAGAUAUUGAUUUUUAUAAAAUCCAACGAAAUUACCAAAAACUGGCAAAUAAGCAAUUUCUAAUUUCUCCUAAAACACCAGCUGAUGUUAUCAAAGCAUUUCAAGAUGAAGUAACUUUGAAAAAAUUUGGGUUACAAAACAUACCGGCGAUGAUGCCUCAACAUUUUUUAAGAUAUGCUGUGAUGCAAAAGACUUUGCCUAUUGUUUGUUUUGUUCUGACAAAAUAAUAAAUCUAAUGAAAGAAAAUAUUCCCUCAAAUGUAGAGAGAAAAAUACUGGUUGAUGCUACAUUUUCUGUUUUACCUAUUGGUAGUUUCAAACAGCUUUUAAUUAUUCACAUUGAAUAUUUUGAAACGGUGUCUCCAGCUAUAUUUGUUCUUAUGAACAAGAAAACAAAAAAAGUUUCGAACAUAUGUUUAACUAUAUUAAUACUAAUGUGAUAAAAUUAGACGGAGCGGUGUUUAUGGCGGAUUUUGAAAUUGGAUUGCGUAGUGCUAUAAAAAAAAUAUUUGAACAUUCUAAGCUAUUCGGGUGCUGGUUUCACUAUUGUCAAGCAGUACGAAGAAAUAUUGCUACAAAACACAAGAAUCUGGCGGAAUUUAUUAGGCAAAACCGAAAAGCAUCUAUAUCUUACCACAAAAUAUUGUCACUCCCAUUAUUACCGGAGACACACAUUGUUAAUUGCUUUUCCAUCAUCAAAGAAGAAAUUGCCACUUUCGACCACUUGUUUAAAUUCGAAUCUUUUUUAAAAUACUUUGAAGAGCAAUGGCUAAAAAAAUUGGUCCAAGAAAUCUUUCGGUCUUUGGAAAUAAGAUCCGUACAACAUCAGCUGUAGAAUCGUAUAAUGCUGUGCUUGCCAAAAUAAUCCCUAAAAAAGGGAAUUUUUUCAAAUUUGUGGGGCAGUUACAAAUGGAGGAGUAUCGCAAAAGUAGGGAAUUAGAAUUGUUAUUAACAGCGGUGGUGCUUUAAGGAAAAGAAAAAAAAGGAAAACGUUAUGAGAGCAAAUCUAAUUGCUAAAGCGGAGGCGGACCAGCUUAAUGGACUCAUAACCGCUACGAGUUUCUUGGAUAGAAUGGUCUUUUCUAGAAACAAAAUAGUAACUGAUAUGGAGCCCUUUGAAGACAUAUUCGAAGGUUUAGAAUAUAUGGAAGAAGAAUCUGAAGUCGAAGAAGAAUCCAAUGCCACGGAAGAAGCUGCAGCAAAUCCUCCACUGAUAUGCAUAACUUGUUUGGAAAACAAACCUAAUAUUUUGCUUUUGCCUUGCAAACAUUUAGAAUUGUGCAGUGACUGCACAUCUAAAAUAGAAGCAGAGAGUGUGGCAAACAAUUUUAAUUAAUUUAAAUGCCCUUUUUGUCGUCAAGAUGUUGACGAAUAUUUACAUAUUUUUAUUUAAUUAUUUUC